rnacentral:rRNA from 1 species
UACGAAGGGGGCUAGCGUUGUUCGGAAUUACUGGGCGUAAAGCGUGCGCAGACGGUUGCGUAAGUCAGAUGUGAAAGCCCCGGGCUCAACCUGGGAAUUGCAUUUGAGACUGCGUAGCUAGGGUGCGGAAGAGGGAAGCGGAAUUUCCGGUGUAGCGGUGAAAUGCGUAGAUAUCGGAAGGAACACCAGUGGCGAAAGCGGCUUCCUGGUCCAGCACCGACGUUCAGGCACGAAAGCGUGGGGAGCAAACAGG